AACAUAAAACCCUAAAUCUAAAAAGUCAAUAAUACCCUCAUCAUCUUUACUCCCCAAAAGUAGCCUAUUCGAUCAAAUUUAGGGAUUAGGAGAGAAGUGCGGAUGGCGACCUGAGUGAGGCAACGGCGACUGAAGCAGUGGCAACCUGAGUGAGGCAGCGGCAACUGACCAAACACAACAGUGACUGAGGCAGCCGCAAACAGGCCAAGACCUGGAUUACCUGCUUUUCAAUUGCAAAUGCUCAUGAUUCUGUUUUGGCAAUACCUUCUCCAUUCCCUAGAUCAGUAUACAAUCCACCUGCUCAGCAACACAAUAGGGCUUGGAUCAAAUGAAUGAUACAACUUAUUGAUGACAGCGGAAGGGGCAAACAUGCGAGAUCACUCUUUAUGCCUUUACUGCUACUUUCCUUUUUAUCAGAGUGGCCGACCCUCAGGCAAAUUUUGCAGCUAGGAACUGUGAUUCACACACCUUUGUCCGCUUCACCAUCACUGUGUUAUUGAAGUUACAUUACAGGGUUGUGAGUCUCUAACUCUUAUCAAAUUAUCAAGAUUAAU